rnacentral:rRNA from 1 species
AGCGAACGCUGGCGGCAGGCUUAACACAUGCAAGUCGAGCGCCGUAGCAAUACGGAGCGGCAGACGGGUGAGUAACACGUGGGAACGUGCCUUCUGGUUCGGAAUAACUCAGGGAAACUUGAGCUAAUACCGAAUAAGCCCUUCGGGGGAAAGAUUUAUCGCCGGAAGAUCGGCCCGCGUAAGAUUAGCUAGUUGGUGAGGUAAUGGCUCACCAAGGCUACGAUCUUUAGCUGGUCUGAGAGGAUGAUCAGCCACACUGGGACUGAGACACGGCCCAGACUCCUACGGGAGGCAGCAGUGGGGAAUAUUGGACAAUGGGCGCAAGCCUGAUCCAGCCAUGCCGCGUGAGUGAUGAAGGCCUUAGGGUUGUAAAGCUCUUUUAGCAGGGACGAUAAUGACGGUACCUGCAGAAAAAGCCCCGGCCAACUUCGUGCCAGCAGCCGCGGUAAAAC